UGUGGGAGGGGACAAAGCUGU
rnacentral:miRNA from 1 species